AUUGAACGCUGGCGGCAUGCCUUACACAUGCAAGUCGAACGGUAACGGGCCUUCGGGUGCCGACGAGUGGCGAACGGGUGAGUAAUGCAUCGGAACGUACCUUUCAGUGGGGGAUAACGUAGCGAAAGUCAGGCUAAUACCGCAUACGUCCUGAGGGAGAAAGCGGGGGAUCGCAAGACCUCGCGCGGAUGGAUGAGCCGAUGUCGGAUUAGCUAGUUGGUGGGGUAAAGGCCUACCAAGGCGACGAUCCGUAGCUGGUCUGAGAGGAUGAUCAGCCACACUGGGACUGAGACACGGCCCAGACUCCUACGGGAGGCAGCAGUGGGGAAUUUUGGACAAUGGGCGAAAGCCUGAUCCAGCCAUUCCGCGUGCAGGAUGAAGGCCCUCGGGUUGUAAACUGCUUUUGAGAGGGACGAGAUAGGACGGUACCUCUUGAAUAAGUCACGGCUAACUACGUG
rnacentral:rRNA from 1 species